UAUGCACCCUGCAGCCAUCUCCGUGUAAGAAACCAGCCCCCCGGCCCCCGGAAAGAGAGUGGUCCCUGCUCAGUGCAUUCACCACUCCGGAGAGGACUCAAAGAUCACUGCGUGUUCCUUACCCUGCUCAGCCUGGACACUCUGGAAAAGGGCUAGGAUCACCCCAAUCAGCAUGACAGCCCUGGAGAUGGCCCCGUGGCUGUGCUGCCUGAUUGCAUACUUCUGGUUUCAAAUGAGGUGUGUGGUUGACCAGUCAGUUCAUAACUCUGGUGUUUGUACCUCUGAGGUUCCACUGUAAACCAGUAACAGCUGUAUCUGCAGUAGAAGAUGAACCAAAGCAUGAACUUUUGUGAAGGUGUGCAAGGAGCUCCAGCUGCUCUUCAUAUCUCUAGCAGAUGCAGCAGAAGUUGCCUCCACGCUGGUGGAGUGAAACCUCAUCCACUCUGGGGAAGGAAUGUGGGCUAGUUGGUAGCCAAGAAUAAUGCAGCCAGAGAUCCAUUUAGAAAGUUUCUGCAGAGAUAAAAGGCCAGUGCCCUUCGGACACCCAAAGAACGUAUAUUCCUCUCUUCAUCAGAAGCUUGCGGUUUGAAAAAAAUACAACCCACCAAUGAAUGACACAGUUGGGGAAGAAGCCAGACACACAGAAGAUUCUUACUCAGGUGAUGCCGCAGUAAGAAGGAACUGGAGAAACCCCACUAUUUACCCUCCGUUCAGAGCAUGAGGAGAUCAACUGUGCAUGUGCAGACCAAUGGACACUGUUUACUAAAAAUCUCUGAACUCAUGUGCAUGGUGCCAAUGUAUACCAUGUGUGGAAUACAGAUAAGGACCUCACAUCUUUAAGAACCAUGUACACGUGUGGAAUACAUAUAGGACCAUCACUUGAAGAACAUGUGCCUUUUUUCUCAGCUAUGCUCACAACAUACCAGGGAAAUAGUGAAUUACAACUGGAUGCAUCAUCUCUACUACAUUCUGGGAUUCCCCUCAACUAACAGAAUUCUCAGCUGGACAGAUACGCUGGGUUUCCAGUUCCAGUUCAACAAGGCUGAAAAUAUGGCCCUACACUUAACUCCAUGGUACAAAUAUUUUACCAUUUGGAAGGAGGAAAAGUGGUCAAAUAUAUAUGAUCAUGUCUCGGGCUUUCUACUAAACUUAAUGUAGAUUGUAAUAAUUUUCCCAGUGCUGUUUUUCCGUCAUCUUUACAAACUCAUCUGUUCAAUCACUACCAAGGCUGCUAAUUUAGGGACAAAGUAGAAGAUAUUUCUGACUUGCACAAUAGGCUAGAGAAGCCCAUUUUUCAGGACUUCAGCAGCUUGACUGCAGACGUUGGGCAUAUUUUUUACUGACUUGAGACCUGAUUUUUCAAACAUGUGGAGGAGCCACAGCUCCCAUUUAGUUCAGUGUUGCGGGUAUCCAGCAUUUUUUAAAAUCAGGCCCUCAAACCUUAAGACAGUGAAACAGUUCUGAGCUGUGAAUGAAUGCACAUACCUGAC